rnacentral:lncRNA from 1 species
CAGUUUAUUCUCUCUUUUGGUACGUGUUUUUCAUUUUUUUUUGUUUUUUUGUCGCUGUUUGUGUUUUGUUUGAUUGGUUUCAAUUCCUUCAUGGUCGAUUGAGCGGAGAUUAUUAUUAGGUUUUGUUCUGUUUUAAGAAGCCUGAAUAGGUGAGUUACGUGUGUGUGCGUGGCUAUCUCUGUUGUGGUGUGUGUGUGUGGCCUGUGUUGGCUGAGAUGAUGAAUUAAACCAGCUGACUAAUGGUCAGUUGGUAAAAAGGACUGGAUAAUAGAUGGUCCGAAGGGGAGGAGAGAUGGUAGAUGUAUGCUGUAAUUGAGGCCAGAGACAUGAUCGUUAAGAGAAGGUCAGAGACAUGGCCGUAAGAGGAGACCAGACACAUGCUGUAAUUAUGUGUAGUGGCUGUUGCUUAUUCUGGAAACCAAACUAACAGUUCUCUGUGUGUGUGGCCACGAGAUUGUCGGUGUCUACAGGAGGCUAUUGUUUGGUGUUCUGGAAAGCCAUUAUGGGCGUCUGUGUGGGUGUGUGACCAACAGAUGGCUGGUUUAUGUGUUAGGAUGUGCUUUGAGUAUUUUGUAGUUGUAGUAAGGUCUGUUAGUGUAGAUCAAGUUUUGACAUGAACAGUGUGUGUAGUGAGUGUGUAUUUAUAUUUUCGGACUGUGUUGGUGUUAUGUGGGUUGGGUAUGAUGUUUGGGGACGAGAAGGGGAUAAAUGAUUAGGAUGCAUAUUUUGUGAAAUAUAUGCACACACAACACCAUGAUAUUAGCACUAGGUUCCCUUUAGCUCUAAAUAAAUUAAAAUUGUGUUGUGCAUAGCUUGUUGAGCUUUUAGAGUUGUAUGGAUAAGAACUUACAUUACACGAAUACUUGUUGAGGUAGUGAAAAAGAUUGAUUAACAUAUACUGAAUGAUCUACAACUUCGUGGUUGAGUAUCAGGAAGUGACAACACCCUUGAAUAGAUUCUUGGGGUGUUACAGCUUUGUUUGUUAUCAACAUUGGUCUCGGAUCGCUAGGUUUUUUCUGCUUUAUUACUUUUGAUUCUUUAACUACUUGUUGUUUUACGUUGAGAAAUUUGAAGUUUUGGUUUUUGAAUUUGAAAUUUGGAGAUGAGUUAAAAAGAUUUAAUAUAUAGUUUUGUUGCAAAAGGAACGAUUGUUUUAGCAGAACACACAUCAUAUUUAGGGAACUCUUAUGUAUAUGAGAAUUGUGGCUCCUGUUCUGCUUCUAUGCUCUACUAGAAUUUAGCACGAUUAUUUCUUGAUUUAUUGCUGUUAGAAUCUUUUUUGUUCGUCUUUAUUUUUUCUUUUAUUUCUCAUGCUAGUGGUUGUUUGAAUUUGAAUGCUUUCCUCAUAUGUAAAAACCUUACUACAUGGUUAAUUACCUUGUAAGUAGAUAUUCAUUUGAUAUUUCAUACCCAUUUUCAGAUGGAUCAUACGGAACGUAUAACAAUGUUAGUGGGGGUUUUAGUGAUGCUUGUUGAAUUUAUAUUCAUAGAAUGAGAAAACUUAGUCAUGUACAUGAAUUAAGGCUUGAAGGUGAGAAAGUUCGAGCCAAGCCUAUGGAAAACUCGGUAUCAAGUGAAUUCUGUUGGCACACUAUUAGGAUGACAACUCCAUCAUUUACGAAGUUAUGUCAUCUGCUAGUUCAGAAGGUGGACUUAAACCUACCAUUUGUGUAACUGUAGAUGA